rnacentral:rRNA from 1 species
UACGGGAGGCAGCAGUGGGGAAUAUUGGACAAUGGGCGAAAGCCUGAUCCAGCCAUGCCGCAUGAGUGAAGAAGGCCUUCGGGUUGUAAAGCUCUUUUAGUGAGAAAGAUAAUGACGGUACUCACAGAAGAAGUCCUGGCUAACUCCGUGCCAGCAGCCGCGGUAAUACGGAGAGGGCUAGCGUUAUUCGGAAUUAUUGGACGUAAAGAGCGCGUAGGCUGAUUAGUAAGUUAAAAGUGAAAUCCCAAAGCUUAACUUUGGAAUUGCUUUUUAAAACUGCUAGUCUAGAGAUUGAAAGAGGAUAGAGGAAUUCCUAGUGUAGAGGUGAAAUUCGUAAAUAUUAGGAGGAACACCAGUGGCGAAGGCGUCUAUCUGGUUCAAAUCUGACGCUGAGGCGCGAAGGGCGUGGGGAGCAAACGAGGGAUUAGAUACC